AUGGUUCUUUCUCUGGAUGGGGAAUGUAUUUUACAUUACAAUUGUCUUGGAAUUGACUUGGAUCACUACAUUGUUGAGAAGAGCUAAAGAAUAUCAUAUUCCAUACCCUCCAGUCCUUUAAUAUAGAAGCUGCCAAAGUACUGUGGAAAAGGAUGACAGACCUCCUAAUGAAUAUACCUACUUUUCUAGUUAAUCAAUAUAUUCAUGAAAAUAAUUUACAAAUGCAUUAAAAAGAAAUCCUAAGUGAGGACACAGGAAGCAAAGAUUGCUGGCCCAGACAAUGCCUUUGGAGUUUGCAGUUCUAGGAGAGUGGGUGUUUACUACGCCUUGGAAAAAGCAGAGUGGGAAGGACCUUACCAAACAUUACAGAUGACUGAGACUGCAGUCUGCAAACUAAAAACACCAUGAUUAAAGGACCUGUGGAAGAACCUCAAGAACAGACUGUUAAGGAAAAUUUAUAACCUCUAAAAUGGAUGUUGCAAUAAGGAAUGUUUUGUUUGAAGGUGGGAAUGUUUGUGCUUAGAGGAAUUUGAACAAUGUUGGUGUGAUACCUAUUAUUUAUAUUUCCAGAAAAGUUUAUAGGGACUCCUUGAUUGAAGGGGUUUGAAUUAACAUUUUUUAGGAUGAAGAAAUUAUUGUUAAUUUUGAUAGGGUUUUUUAAUUUGAAAUUUGAGCAAACUAUUCUAUAUUCUAGCUAAGUUUUAAUUUGCUGUAUUGAGUCAUCUUAAAGCUGUUCCCAUUGUUUAGGGAGAUUCUGAGAACAGUGGUCUAUAUCUUUGUCCCUUUCAACAUGGUUAAUACCUGAACAUGUUUUGAUAUAGAUUGGUUAUUGAUCAUCUUAAAAUAAAAAUUGUUUGUGUAAUGUUGUAUUUAAAACCCGUCUACAUAGAUAUGAUUAAGAUAAGCCAUGAACUUUCUAGGAUGAAUUUAUUACUGUUAUCAAUGUAAGAUCAUAAUCAAUACUUAUUUAGAAUAUAUGAUCCUUGAAUGCUAAAUUCACCUGAGGCUUUCAUUAAUGACACUUGCUAAUUGAGUAAAAUCUCUUGGAAUUGCAGCUGAUAUUUGAUGUUCUGAAUACAGGUAUGAUUGCCUUAGGAAUCAUCAGCUGGUAAUUCAACAACUGAAAGUAACAUGCCACAAGCUACUCAGAGGAAUGUGAUAUUGAAUUGUUAUGGGUAAAGGUUAAUAUCUGGACAAGACAUGGGAGGACAACCUUGGUCUCCUCUUAAGGUGGGAUCCUUCUGAUUCAGUUUCCUAGUGGUAUUCCUUUGAAUAAGAAUCCGCCUGAUUAUUCCUGAAUUUGACUAUAAGGUGGAAUUGUUUUUGCAUACAAUUAUUUAAAGUCAAACUGAGCUAAGGAUGCUUUAUUCUGUCAUGCAUGCAUUUUCAGACUGAGGCCUGAAGGACCAAGUUUUGGAUUAUAAUCACAUCUCUGCUUUUUCCUCUUAUAGCAAAUUUCUAUAAUCACGGGGAAAGGUCAGUAGAAACUAUGAGCACAAUUCAAGUAUGUAAGAUCUUGCAGGUUCCUACCUGAAAAUAUAUGGUCAUUAUAUCCUAAAUAAGUAAGCGAGCAUUUGGCCUAAUCAUGUGUUUCUUUUAGCAUUUCUGUUGUUGCUGACUUUUCUGAUAGGGACACAAAUGGGUAGGGUGAUAGAUGGCUCUAGAUAGGAGUUGAGGGUAUAGAACCCCAAUUUCUAUGCUGAAUAGACUCAUUAGAUACCAGGACACUAUAAAAAUAACUAAUAACCCAAUAACAAAGGCACUGGAUUUGUUAACAGACUAGGCUACUCCAGACUGGAGAAGCAGUACUCCACCACAGAUUGGUAUUAGACUACUUGUUUAUUGGCUGAAGAAGGAAAUUAAAUCUAUCUACUUGCUGUGUGAAAAGUGAUUAUAAUGCACAGGUAGUGAAGGAAAUUGAUAAAGACAUCAGAAAACUGUACCAUGUCCUAUUCCAGACCUGGUCCUCACCAUUUAAUAUCUCUUGAUGGUCUUGGUAUGGAGGCAGCUGAGGGAAACAGCUUCUUAGGUUCCUGCCGAUAGCUUUAAGUGGAAUGAUACUACUUCCUGUGUUGUGCCAAAGUUCCCUUUUAAUGUCAUGACCCACUUUCUCCAAUUGUCCUAUUUAGUUAUUCUGUUUCAGGUUAUAUAACCUUUCCCUCUUAAUGUUUUAUGAGAUAAAGGUCUACCUCAGUUACUCUGCCCCAAAAUCCCAAGCUAUAAUCAUUCCCUCUUAAAUGGUUGAUGAGAUAAAGGUUUUAUAUCUUUAGG